ensembl:ncRNA lncRNA:CR31781 long non-coding RNA:CR31781
GACACAAAAAGCAGAGACGAACUGCGACAAAGAGAACGCCGGAACGGAACGUGAACGGGAAUUCAGAACGUUGCAAUCGUUCGAGGGCCUCUGGCUCGCUUUUUGGCAGGCCGCGCGGCCAGUCGUCAGUCAGUUGGCCAACAAACUGGUAGCGUCUGGUGUGGCGAGCCAACAAAAGGCUGGCAGAGCGGCCAACACCGGACCCGGCCCGAAACUGAAUCCGGGUCCGGGUCUGGGUCCGUGUCCGUGUCCGGGUUGGUUUCGCAGCAUCUACGGCAUCACGGCUGCCAAUUGAGCGGAGUUUGGGUCUCAAUUUGACGCGUAGCCAGCCAAGAAGAGUGGCCGGCCAACAACAAAAACAGGUGACGCAGGAUGUGGCCAACUGAGUAGGGAGAUGGCGGAAGAGCAGGAGGCGCAGGAGGAGGAGGAGGAGGAGGAGGAGGAGGAAACGCAGCACACUUUUUUGGCCACGGUCCGCGUUUGAUUAGCCAACUCAAACAUCAGGGCCAAGAUCAGGGCAAUUGACAGCUCUGCUCCCUCAGUUUCUGCUUCCGCUUGGCACACAGUCACAGAGACACACAUUGCCUUAUGGCCACUGGACGAUGGACCACAGUGGAGCCUGGGCAGUACGCAACACCUGACGCUGCCCGCCAGGAUACUCCCGUUCGUCUCGAUCAUACAGCAAAUAAGAAACAUUAAAUAAACAAUCAAAGAAACGGAGUAUUGCUCCGCAACUGCCAACAACAUUCAACGACAACCAGUUGCUCUGUGGUGCUAGAAAGUGAGUGUAAACAGUGUGUGCCUUUGUGAACUGAACUGACCAACGUGCCAAGAACGAAGGGACGAGGAGGUGGGCACUCUGGCUCGGACCCAAGCGAUUUGGCAGGAGCUGAUUGUUUCAUCUGGCCAGGCUUAAUGAAAUAACUCGUCCUGGCCGCGGCUCCAUGUCAAACGCAGCAGGGCAAUCGCCAGCGAAGCCCCAAAGGAUAAGCAUCGUCCAGAACAUCGGAAUCUCCAGCGAAGGAUGCACCAAAAACAUUAUCCACAGGACUAAGAUGCCAAAGGAAACUUUCAAGAUCCGUUUCCAAAACAAAACAUAAAAUAUAUUCAAUAAAAAUGAAGUGGAAAUGAAAUGAUACAUAAUAAAUACCCUAAUACAUAACAGAAACAAAAGCAAGUCACUAAACUUGACUGCAAAUAUAAUACGAUGACACUUAAUAGAAACAUUGUAAUAAAAUUGAAAAGAAGUAGACAAGAAUAACCACUCAUAAAACUAAAAUACCCAGCCUAUAACUAUUUUUCAAAUAGUUGGCAUAGUGCUUACUAUGAACCAUAAUCGCAUAUGAUAUAACCAAUAUUGAGCACUUAAUAUAGCCCAAUAUUAUAUAGACCCAAAUAUGAAAUAGUCACAAACAAUAGUGCAAUACAAUACGUUUAUAAAACAACGUCAAAAGUUUUAUAACGAAAAUAUAUUUCUUUAUAAUGAGCACUUUCGAACAACUACAUUUAAUAUAAAAUAGCGCGGGAAGUCUUCGGCGUGGUGAAAGUAUAAGGUGUAAGCACAGCUGAGAAGAAAGGAAUUUACAAAAUCGAAGGAAGAAGUGAAAGAAGGAGUGAAAAAACAUCUAAGCGCGGAAAAGUGCUACAAAAUGAUUUUCACUUACAUAAACCACAUCAAAGCCAUCACUCAAUUGCCACUUUCAGUCAUUUCGACCAUGUCCAAGAAUGAAUAAUGGAUGGGGAAAAUAAAGAGAAGCUGACAUCCUAAAGGAAACCUUGUUGGCCAAUUGGGGAGGAGGCCCAGAAGGUCGGGCCGAUUUUCCGCUGCAACCGACGAAGGUCUGACCAACCAAUCGCAACGCACAGCGGCGACGAAGCCCGGCCGAAUGGGAGCAUCUCGGGCAAACGGAGGGACAGUCAGCCGCCCUGCAAUGCAUUUCUUUUGGCAACGAGUCAAGCGGCCUUUCACACACACACACACACACAUUAGGAUUCCAUAAGGAUACUCUGCCUCGCUCACAUGCGCAUCGAGUGGUAUACGUAAUAUAUCAAGUAUACGCCUGUUGGCCGGGCAGAAAGUCUGUGAGUGUGUGCGAAUGGCCAAACAGAGUGUUGCCAACUGCAUUGCCGGGCUGCCAACGACUCAACCCCCGACCCGAGGACACCACCCUCCUCCCGGCCAGGAGGCCAACGACGAGUCCUUUUUGGAGGCAGCGCAUUGGCUGCAGGACGACCGGCGACAGGACGACCAAUCACCAAUCAAAUCGCGGCUUGUGCGCACUAUCACGGCCGUACGAAGGGCCAAAGGCACGGCAUCCAGGACCUCAGCCGGAGACCCCAAGCCGAUUGUCAAUCUCUUAGACAUAUUAUUAUGCCAACGUCUCCUAUAUUAUAGUUCUCUAGUCGUAAGUCACAUGCCCAAGCCAUCGCCCCAGAACAUCGGGGACAUGAAACAUUAGUUUUAUUGAUAGAGUUCUUAGUUUCGAGCAGAAGCUAUACGAUGAUGAUUUCAAGAAUGAGAAAACGGAAUAAAAACUGUAAAGCUUCAGAGCGGAAC